rnacentral:rRNA from 1 species
AUUGAACGCUGGCGGCAUGCUUUACACGUGCAAGUCGAACGGCAGCACGGGGGCAACCCUGGUGGCGAGUGGCGAACGGGUGAGUAAUGCAUCGGAACGUGUCCUUAAGCGGGGGAUAACGCAUCGAAAGAUGCGCUAAUACCGCAUAAUCUCCGAGGAGAAAAGCAGGGGAUCGCAAGAGCUUGCGCUUUUGGAGCGGAGGAUGUCUGAUUAGCUAGUUGGUGGGGUAAUGGCUUACCAAGGCUUCGAUCAGUAGCUGGUCUGAGAGGACGACCAGCCACACUGGGACUGAGACACGGCCCAGACUCCUACGGGAGGCAGCAGUGGGGAAUUUUGGACAAUGGGGGAAACCCUGAUCCAGCCAUGCCGCGUGAGUGAAGAAGGCCUUCGGGUUGUAAAGCUCUUUCAGCCGGAACGAAAUGGUCACGGCUAAUACCCGUGACAAAUGACGGUACCGGAAGAAGAAGCACCGGCUAACUACGUGCCAGCCGCCGCCGUAACAC